AUUCAGAUGACGAGUCCCAAAUAAGAUGAAACACGCGUCUUGAAU
rnacentral:hammerhead_ribozyme from 1 species